rnacentral:rRNA from 1 species
GACGAACGCUGGCGGCGUGCUUAACACAUGCAAGUCGAACGGAAAGGUCAUGCUUUUGUGGGGUGCUCGAGUGGCGAACGGGUGAGUAACACGUGAGUAACCUGCCCCUGACUUUGGGAUAACUUCAGGAAACUGGGGCGAAUAUCGGAUAGGAGCUCCUGCUGCAUGGGGGGGGUUGGUAAGUUUCGGCGGUUGGGGAUGGACUCGCGGCUUAUCAGCUUGUUGGUGUGGUAGUGGCUUACCAAGGCUUUGACGGGUAGCCGGCCUGAGAGGGUGACCGGCCACAUUGGGACUGAGAGACGGACCAGACUGCUACGGGACGCAGCAGUGGGGAAUAUUGCACAAUGGGCGGAAGCCUGAUGCAGCAACGCCGCGUGCGGGAUGACGGCCUUCGGGUUGUAAACCGCUUUCGCCUGUGACGAAGCGUGAGUGACGGUAAUGGGUAAAGAAGCACCGGCUAACUACGUG